rnacentral:tRNA from 1 species
GCCUGGUUAGCUCAAUCGGUAGAGCGUUUGACUCUUAUAAACUGGAUAUCAAAAGGUUGCGGGUUCGACCCCCGCAUCGGGCU